rnacentral:rRNA from 1 species
CCUACGGGAGGCAGCAGUGGGGAAUAUUGCACAAUGGGGGAAACCCUGAUGCAGCGACGCCGCGUGAGGGAUGAAGGUCUUCGGAUCGUAAACCUCUGUCAGCAGGGAAGAACGGUCACUGUGCUAAUCAGCAGUGAAUUGACGGUACCUGCAAAGGAAGCACCGGCUAACUCCGUGCCAGCAGCCGCGGUAAUACGGAGGGUGCGAGCGGUAAUCGGAAUUACUGGGCGUAAAGCGUUCGUAGGCGGUAUGUCAAGUCAAGGGGGAAAUCCCCGCGCUCAACGUGGGAACCGCCUUUGAAACUGGCAAACUAGAGGGUGUGAGAGGAUAGUGGAAUUCCAGGUGUAGGGGUGAAAUGCGUAGAUAUCUGGAGGAACAUCAGUGGCGAAGGCGACUAUCUGGCACAUAACUGACGCUGAGGAGCGAAAGCGUGGGUAGCAAACAGGAUUAGAUACCCGAGUAGUC